GCUUUACUGUAACUUGGAAUUGAGUUUGGGCUCUUCUUGCGCAGUAUAGGUGGGAGGCUAAGAAAAUAUGCUUGCGGGCAUAUUUGAGCCAUCAUUGAGAUACCACUCUGGAAGGGUUGGAACUCUAACUUUGAGCCGUAAGCCGGCCAAAAGACAGUUUCUGGUGGGCAGUUUGACUGGGCGGUCGCCUCCUAAAAAGUAACGGAGGCGCGCAAAGGUUCCCUCAGACUGGUCGGAAAUCAGUCGUAGAGUGUAAAGGCAUAAGGGAGCUUAACUGCGAGACUUACAAGUCGAGCAGAGACGAAAGUCGGCCUUAGUGAUCCGGCGGUUCCAUGUGGAAGGGCCGUCGCUCAACGGAUAAAAGUUA
rnacentral:rRNA from 1 species